UACAGAGGGUGCGAGCGUUGUCCGGAAUCACUGGGCGUAAAGGGCGCGUAGGUGGCGCUCCAAGUCUGUGGUGAAAGCUCGAUGCUCAACAUCGAGUCGGCCAUAGAGACUGGAGGGCUCGAGCACUGUAGGGGCAGAUGGAAUUCCGGGGUGUAGCGGUGGAAUGCGUAGAGAUCCGGAAGAACACCGGUGGCGAAGGCGGUCUGCUGG
rnacentral:rRNA from 1 species